rnacentral:rRNA from 1 species
AUUGAACGCUGGCGGCAGGCCUAACACAUGCAAGUCGAACGGCAGCGGGGGAUAGCUUGCUAUCCUGCCGGCGAGUGGCGGACGGGUGAGUAAUGCAUGGGGAGCUGCCCAGUCGAGGGGGAUAACAACUGGAAACGGUUGCUAAUACCGCAGACGCCCUAAGGGGGAAAGGUGGGGAACUUCGGUCCUACCGCGAUUGGCUGCGCCCAUGUGGGAUUAGCUAGUUGGUGAGGUAACGGCUCACCAAGGCGACGAUCUCUAGCUGGUCUGAGAGGAUGUCCAGCCACACUGGAACUGAGACACGGUCCAGACUCCUACGGGAGGCAGCGGUGGGGAAUAUUGCACAAUGGGGGAAACCCUGAUGCAGCCAUGCCGCGUGUGUGAAGAAGGCCUUCGGGUUGUAAAGCACUUUCAGUCAGGAGGAAGGGGUGAUGGCUAAUAUCCAUCAUCAUUGACGUUACUGACAGAAGAAGCACCGGCUAACUCCGUGCCAGCAGCCGCAGUAA